rnacentral:rRNA from 1 species
UACGUAGGUGGCAAGCGUUGUCCGGAUUUAUUGGGUUUAAAGGGUGCGUAGGCGGCCUUGUAAGUCAGUGCUGAAAUAUCCCGGCUUAACCGGGAGGGUGGCAUUGAUACUGCAGGGCUUGAGUAAAGUUGAGGUUGGCGGAAUUGACGGUGUAGCGGUGAAAUGCGCAGAUAUCAGGAGGAACACCAAUGGCGAAGGCAGCUCGCUGGGACGGUACUGACGCUGAGACGCGAAAGCGUGGGGAGCAAACAGG